rnacentral:lncRNA from 1 species
AUGAUGGACAUGAUAUAAUGAAACAACAUUGUGGAGAGGAAAGCAUUAGGGGAGCCCACGGCUACAAAACAAGUGAGAAGAGGUGGGAGAAAGAGAAACUACGCCACCUCCUCUGCAGCCGAGCGCACGCAGCAGCCUGGCGUGACAAGUGGGCGACGCCAGGGACAGGGAGUGGGGGUCCUCCGCCCGCUCCGGGGACCCUGUCACCCACCGUGGUGCGCUGAGCAACUUUUAGCCGGCAGCCCCGCACCUGUCUCAGAGUCCCCAUCGCUCCCCACCAACCAUCAUGGGAAAAUUCUAGAAGAAUACGCUCUCGGAAUCUACGUGCGCAUCAUUUUCCUCCUCACUCCAGAGGAAGGAACCAGAAAAGAGAGCAAAGCGGUGUAGUGUUCAGCCUCAAGGCUGCACAGAUACCUGACUCUGGGUGCUCAGGAAGACUCAGGCAGAGAUGGGGAGUCGGCCUGCAAGCUGGGACGCUAGAGCUCACGUGCAGUUCUCCAUUUAGCUAGGAGGUUUCCAGGGCAACCACCGAAGCAGUAAUUAAAGAUGAAGAGCUAAAAGAGAGAAAAAUAGCAGCAACCUGGUCUCUUUUCACGGAACACAGUAAGCCACCAAAGAGGUGUGGACAGCCAGCGACCUCCACGGAAAUCAUGAAG